rnacentral:rRNA from 1 species
CUUAAUUUGACUCAACACGGGAAAUCUCACCAGGCCCGGACACCGGAAGGAUUGACAGAUUAACAGCUCUUUCUUGAUUCGGUGGGUGGUGGUGCAUGGCCGUUCUUAGUUGGUGGAGCGAUUUGUCUGGUUAAUUCCGGUAACGAACGAGACUCUAGCCUGCUAAAUAGGCGUCGUCAUUCCGGUGUGCGCGACGUUGCGUCGCGCGGCUCACUGGCGGCGUUAUUAAAAAUCUUCUUAGAGGGACCGGCGGCUUCGAGCCGCACGAGAUUGAGCAAUAACAGGUCUGUGAUGCCCUUAGAUGUCCUGGGCCGCACGCGCGCUACACUGAAGGAAUCAGCAUGUUCUCCCUGGCCUAGAGGCCCGGGCAACCCUCUGAAACUCCUUCGUGCUGGGGAUUGGGGUUUGCAAUUGUCCCCCAUAAACGAGGAAUUCCUAGUAAGSSCGAGUCAUAAGCUCGCGUUGAUUACGUCCCUGCCCUUUGUACACACCGCCCGUCGCUACUACCGAUUGAAUGAUUUAGUGAGGUCUUCGGACCG